AAGAGCUUGCUCUUCGAUUCAGCGGCGGACGGGUGAGUAAUGCCUAGGAAUCUGCCUGGUAGUGGGGGACAACGUUUCGAAAGGAACGCUAAUACCGCAUACGUCCUACGGGAGAAAGCAGGGGACCUUCGGGCCUUGCGCUAUCAGAUGAGCCUAGGUCGGAUUAGCUAGUUGGUGGGGUAAUGGCUCACCAAGGCGACGAUCCGUAACUGGUCUGAGAGGAUGAUCAGUCACACUGGAACUGAGACACGGUCCAGACUCCUACGGGAGGCAGCAGUGGGGAAUAUUGGACAAUGGGCGAAAGCCUGAUCCAGCCAUGCCGCGUGUGUGAAGAAGGUCUUCGGAUUGUAAAGCACUUUAAGUUGGGAGGAAGGGCAGUAAGCGAAUACCUUGCUGUUUUGACGUUACCGACAGAAUAAGCACCGGCUAACUCUGUGCCAGCAGCCGCGGUAAUACAGAGGGUGCAAGCGUUAAUCGGAAUUACUGGGCGUAAAGCGCGCGUAGGUGGUUUGUUAAGUUGGAUGUGAAAGCCCCGGGCUCAACCUGGGAACUGCAUCCAAAACUGGCAAGCUAGAGUACGGUAGAGGGUGGUGGAAUUUCCUGUGUAGCGGUGAAAUGCGUAGAUAUAGGAAGGAACACCAGUGGCGAAGGCGACCACCUGGACUGAUACUGACACUGAGGUGCGAAAGCGUGGGGAGCAAACAGGA
rnacentral:rRNA from 1 species